rnacentral:lncRNA from 1 species
GAUAAAAGAAACUAGCACAGUGUGUUCAGAGGUGAACCUGACAACAGACUAAAAACAUUUUACAGUCAUUUUCUGGCAACCUCACACAGGAUCAUGAGAUGAGGCUGGGUUCCUGGGAGCAGGCACCAUCUCUUAACCUAUUUUAG